rnacentral:misc_RNA from 1 species
CGGUAUCAAACACCAUACACUUUCUAAAUUAUCGAUAGAUUUAUUGUUUCAGAUGGAGGAGGAGAAACACCACCACCACCACCACCUGUUCCACCACAAGGACAAGGCGGAGGAGGGCCCCGUCGACUACGAAAAAGAAAUCAAACACCAUAAACAUCUCGAGCAAAUCGGUAAACUUGGCACUGUUGCUGCCGGUGCCUACGCCUUGCAUGAGAAACAUGAGGCAAAGAAAGAUCCAGAACAUGCACACAAACACAAGAUAGAGGAAGAGAUAGCAGCAGCUGCUGCAGUUGGGGCAGGUGGAUUUGCAUUCCAUGAGCAUCAUGAGAAAAAAGAUGCCAAGAAAGAAGAAAAAAAAGCUGAGGGGGGACACCACCAUCUCUUCUAAAUUGUUAUUUUAGUUACAUUUUUAAUAUUCGUGGAAUUUCCAUAUUUGGUAUAAGUGUUGUGUCAUCUUAUCAUAUAUCGUGUAUAAUAACAAUAAAUUUAGUGUGAUAUUAUAAAUGGAUCGAGUUAAAAAAAAAAGAGCAAAAGUCAGAAUAUAUUUUACCAAUCUCGUGUGAUGUAAAGAAGGAUGUAUUGUGAUUUCCAAAAUGAUCAUGUGUGUUUUUGACUUUCCUCGCAAUCUUCUGUUGAAUUACCUUGUAAAAUGUUGCUUUUUUAAGUGGUGUAAUAAAUAAUGAGUUUUCUAGUGAAUGGAUUUGUUUGAUU